GAUGAACGCUGGCGGCGUGCCUAACACAUGCAAGUCGAACGGAAAUUAAAGGUGGAAGUUUUCGGAUGGAAACGUUUAAUUUUAGUGGCGGACGGGUGAGUAACGCGUGGGUAACCUGCCGUAUACAGGGGGAUAACACUUAGAAAUAGGUGCUAAUACCGCAUAAGCGCACGGUGUCGCAUGACACAGUGUGAAAAGCUCCGACGGUAUACGAUGGACCCGCGUCUGAUUAGCUAGUUGGUGAGGUAGAGGCUCACCAAGGCGACGAUCAGUAGCCGGCCUGAGAGGGUGACCGGCCACAUUGGGACUGAGACACGGCCCAAACUCCUACGGGAGGCAGCAGUGGGGAAUAUUGCACAAUGGGGAAACCCUGAUGCAGCGACGCCGCGUGAGUGAAGAAGUAUUUCGGUAUGUAAAGCUCUAUCAGCAGGGAAGAAAAUGACGGUACCUGACUAAGAAGCCCCGGCUAACUACGUGCCAGCCGCCGCAGUAACAC
rnacentral:rRNA from 1 species